rfam:Chondromyces apiculatus DSM 436 contig24, whole genome shotgun sequence.
GCGGGGUGAGCGAGCUGGUGAACGCACCGGUCUCACACACCGAUCUCGCAGGGUUCGAUCCCCUGACCCCGCA